rnacentral:rRNA from 1 species
AAAAGCUCGUAGUCGGAUGUUUCGAACGGUUGCUAAUUUGCAUGAUGUGCCGAAAGGCGCGUCGUUUGGCGAGGUUACCCGUUUGACUUUGAAGUGGACUCACGUGUCAGUUAAUUCUGUCUUGCGUGAUGUGAAGCUUUUCUUGCACUGUGAAUAAAACGAAGCGCUCCAAGCAGUUUGGAAAGACUGAACGAUAAAGCAUGGGAUGCUGUCAGAAGAUCUUGGGAUGACGUGUUGUCGGUGAUGUUGUGAUCCUAGAUAAUGAUUACAGGAGCAGUUGGGGCGAUUGGUAUUGCAGGGGUACCGGUGAAAUGGAGAUCCUUGCAAGACUAACGAAAGCGAAAGCAUUUCGCAAGGAUGUUUUCAAUGAUCAAGAACGAAAGUCAUGGGAUCGAAGAGGAUUAUAUACCCUCGUAGUCAUGACCGUAAACGAUCCUGACUAGGAAUCGGUGGCAUUGCAUAUGUGCUGCCGGCGCCUUAGGGAAACCAAAGUUAUUGAGGUCUGGGGGGAGUAUGGAUGCAAGUCUGAAACUUAAAGGAAUUGACGGAAGGGCACCACCAAGCGUGGAGCUUGCGGCUUAAUUUGACUCAACACGGGAAAACUUACGGGGAUAGGACAAUGGAAGGAUGGACAGGCUGAAGCCCUUUCCAGAUUCUUUGGUUGGUGGUGCAUGGCCGUUCUUGGUUCGUGAAUUGAUUUGU